rfam:Picea glauca, whole genome shotgun sequence.
GGGUGUGAUCAUACCAGCAUUAAUGCGCGGGAUCCCAUCAGAACUCCGCAGUUAAGUGCGCUUGGGCCAGAGUAGUACUGGGAUGGGUGACCUCCCGGGAAGUCCUAGUGUUGCACCCU